rnacentral:snoRNA from 1 species
AUCCCGUGAUGAGGGCAUUGUCUUUGCAAAUAUAGAAACCUCAUCCAUGCUUCAUACAACAAUUCAGGUUGUUAAAAGGUUGCUAAUACAAUUCUCAGCUU